rnacentral:rRNA from 1 species
UGCCAGCCGCCGCGGUAAUACGGAGGGAGCGAGCGUUAAUCGGAAUUACUGGGCGUAAAGCGCGCGUAGGCGGCUUUGUAAGUCGGAUGUGAAAGCCCUGGGCUCAACCAGGGAAUUGCAUUCGAUACUGCAUGGCUAGAGUGUGGCAGAGGAAAGCGGAAUUCCCGGUGUAGCGGUGAAAUGCGUAGAUAUCGGGAGGAACAUCAGUGGCGAAGGCGGCUUUCUGGACCGAUACUGACGCUGAGACGCGAAAGCGUGGGGAGCAAACAGGAUUAGAUG